UCAAUAGCGUAUAUUAAAUUUGUUGCAGUUAAAAAGCUCGUAGUUUGAAUUCUGGCCGGAGCGGUUGGUGCGACUCUCUGAGUUGUUACUUGCAUCGUCUCUGGCCAUCCUUGGGGAGAACCUGUCUGGCAUUAGGUUGUCGGGCAGGGGGUACUCAUCGUUUACUGUGAAAAAAUUAGAGUGUUCAAAGCAGGCUUACGCCGUUGAAUAUACUAGCAUGGAAUAAUAAUAUAGGACCCUUGUACUAUUUUGUUGGUUUGUGCACGAGGGUAAUGAUUAACAGGGACAAUUGGGGAUAUUUGUAUUUCAGUGGAAGAGGUGAAAUUCUUGGAUUUCUGAAAGACAAACAACUGCGAAAGCAUUUAUCAAGGAUGUUUUCAUUAAUCAAGAACGAAAGUUAGGGGAUCGAAGAUGAUUAGA
rnacentral:rRNA from 1 species